rnacentral:lncRNA from 1 species
ACUUCCGUUUGAGGAGAUAGGCAAAGGUUAUGCAGGUUUUUAAUGGCAGGCCUGAGACAGGAACUCAGGUCUCCUGACUCCCAUUCUGAUGAGGGGGCUUGUGGGCAAGGGGUGCGUCUUUUAACCUCCAUCCUUUUUUUUUUUCCUUGGUGGUCGAAGAGUUUUACUGAUUUUUUAAAAAAGUGCUGGAUUGGGUGACUAGAAGAAAGCUGCCCUUAGGUCUCCAGUUUUUAAGACUGCAACAGCAUGGCUCAAUAUUUGAAAUCACUACGGUUAAAAGCAGUCAUAUUGUGCAGUUCCCCAGUGAACUCUUUUUGUAGUUUAGAUUAUAAAGUCUGAAAUACAGUUUGGGUGGAUAAAGUUUCUUAGGAUGGUAUAGAUGUGACUAAUCAUGGAGUCCUUCCUGUUGCCAUCCUUCAACGCAAUAAGCUACAGAAAUUGACAGAAGAAAGAAGAGACCAUUGGAAAAUGAUGGGCCUGUUAAAAAGAAAGUAAAGAAAGUCCAACAAAAGGAAGGAGGAAGUGAUCUGG